UACCAGCACCCCGAGUGGUCGGGACGAUUAUUGGGCCUAAAGCAUCCGUAGCCGGUCAUGCAAGUCCUCCGUUAAAUCCACCUGCUUAACAGAUGGGCUGCGGAGGAUACUACAAGGCUAGGAGGCGGAAGAGGCAAGCGGUACUCAGUGGGUAGGGGUAAAAUCCUCUGAUCCAUUGAAGACCACCAGUGGCGAAGGCGGCUUGCCAAUACGCGCUCGACGUGAGGGAUGAAAGCUGGGGG
rnacentral:rRNA from 1 species